UAUCAACAAUAUAAAACAGUUAUACUCCGAUAGCUGCGUGAUAAACAGAGAUGGGUCUCCUAAACCUCUUUCUGCAAUCCUUUCUAACCUUCGCCGGGUUUGUUUUUUACAUUGUUGGAACUUUUCUUCCGUACUGGAGACAAUUCAAGGAACCAUCGAGUCAAAUAUCUGCGUCACUGAUAUACAUCAAGAAUUGCACCGUCAAUAUGGGAUGCUGGUAUAAAACCUUCUACGACCCAGUUCAGCAAGAGCAGUAUUUCGGUAGUGCGAAAGACAGUCUAUUCCCAUUGAUGGCGGUGACACAGGGGAAAUGUCUGAUGUCGCUACUUCUAAGUCUCGUUGCCACUGUAAUGACAGUCAAUGCAGUAUGUAAGCAGGACAGGACUCGUCUCAUCUGGGUCUUCCUUCUCUUGUCUUUUUCAGGGAUUUUGAUGUUGUCUAUUGUGGCAGAUUUUGUCGUGACGUAUAUCAUGAACUAUAAUAAAAAUUAUUUGGGAAACUGUCCUUAUUCCGCCGGAUUGGUUCUCUUAGGUCUUUUUACCCAUUUCCUUGUUGUCAUCGAUGGCUUCAGAAGUAUCUCUGGAAAUAUAGGAUACCACAGGAUGUCUGACCCGGACAGAACCGAUAGGACAAUUCAGAAUGACGAGUAGUGACUAGGGCUCACACCAUAGACGUAAAGGAAAGGGAUCUUCUGCUUUACGUCUAUGCUCACACCAAAACAUGAAUAACAAUAAGGGUAAUCCCCUGUCCAUAAUAUUCGAUUUAGAAUUUCAUGAAAUUUGAUAGUGUGUAGCUUUACGCCGAUAUUUUGAUUAAUUAAUCAUACCAUUGAUUAGGUAGGCUACCUUUCUCAAUUGAGGCCAUGAGAAAUAAUCUUAAGAAAGAAACUGAACUAAUGAGCCCAUGGAGAUGAAGAAGCGAACAUGUAGAUUGUUUACGAUAUUCUAGAAUAUUUUUGAAUAUGUUUAUAUUCAGAAUUAUAUUUUCUGUUCUAAGAAAAUUAAUCUAGAAUACUGGUAUACAAAACUUCAAAAGAAUGAUAAUCUUAGUUGCGUCUCCUUGAUAGACCUAUCACUGUCUUCUUUUUUUUAUUAAAACCUUCGUGGGAAGUAACGCGUAGGAAUCUGUUGAAUCUAAUUUUCAUAAUAACAAAAAUAUGAAUCUUAAUGGUUGCAAUUUAAUUGGAAUUAAAGUCAAAUAUAUUCAUUCAAAUGUUCUUGUCCUUUGAAAAAUGAUAUUACUUAUAUUUCUAUUAUAUGUGGGGGUUUAUAUUUCAUUCCGAUAUAGAAGCCUGCCAGAUGAAGGGUGUGUAUGUGUAUUAAUGAAAUACCUCUUCGAUAAGUUAAACAUUUUGCAGGAAAAUAAAGCGUAAGAAUCUGAAAUUAAUUUUCAUUAUAAUGACGAAAAAAAAAUAAUCCUUGCAAUUUUAUUCAUAUUUCAUUUAUAUUACCAUUCCUCACGAUAGAUUAAAAACUACACUUUUUGGUCUUUUUAUGAAAUGAUAUGAAAUGGGUAUUACAAGCAAUCUUUGGUCAAUUGUUUUACAAACAGGGUCUUGUCAUGUUUUUAUGUCUUGUAUAUACAUAUCAAUGAACUUAUCGUUAACCUUGAAAACUCUUGCAUAAAUACUGGCAUAUUUAGUAUAACCAGCAACUGUCCAUCACUAGCGGACGGUAUCGCAUGUAUCGGGAUCACACCUGUUGUAUUGCAACAAAUGCUUGAUGUUUCAUGUGUAUACUCUAGGAAGUGGCGUUUUUCAUUCAAUUCCCAAAAAUCGUGCAAACUAAAAUUCUGUGUUAAAGGUUACAAAUUUAACAAGGAUUGUGUAUAUAAAAAAAAUUAGGUGAUACCACGAUUUCUUGAUCUGACACCUAUAAUCAUCUGGUAAUCAUUAUCAAUAAUAAACUUACACUCACAGAUAUACUUUUAUCGGCAUGCCGGAAGGGACAAAAAUCAUACUACACAAUUACAUGUAACGAUAUAGGAUCGAAUUAUCUUAACCCACUAACUUGAUCACACCUUAAAUUAUAAAUCAGUUGUAUUAUCCACCGUUCUCUACAGUUGUGAGUUGUGGAAUAACCUUACUACAAUGGACUGCCAACGGUUUAAGUUUUUUCAACAUUGUAUUUGUAAAAAAUGCACAAACCCUUCCUACAACGACAAGAUCGGAUAUUUAAAGUAUCUUCAAUUUGAUUCUUAUCGAAAUAGACGUUUCUCUGAAGACUUUGAGAUAUCGAUCCUCGUUUUCUUCCAAAGAUCUUUUUGACGCGUCUUAGACAUUCAUUCUUGGAGGACAUUUCUAAUAAACAAUGAGGGUUUAUUCCUGAUGUCAUCAAUUCAACCUUACUGAUUACUUACAAACCUGGCUGAUGAACAGUUUAUUUCCAUCGAAACAUGCAUGGUAGAAGAUUGUAAGAACUGCAGUGUCUACACAACAUACGACACAACGGAACCUCGGAAUGAUAAACGACGGUGAAUUUCACCGCUUACAGUCUAUCGUCCAACAUCAGAACCACUGCUUCGUUUGGACUAUUCCGCCAAAUUCAUAUGAAAUCACCUUGAGUAAUAUUUGUUAACUCAUAGCUAAUCCCCCUGAACAAACGCCAGAUAUCAGCUGAUUCUGUGAUGCCAUCUUUCUAGAUAUUUUCAAACAUUACAUGUUCCUGCUAACUGACCUUGAAUGACCUGGUCGGAUGAAAUCUCAAACAAACUCGAUGUACUCCUCUCUGUGCUAUGACUGAUAAUGAUUUUUUUUUCUCUUAGGGCGCAAUUCUUUUACACGGAUCUCCGGAAGUUAUAUCGCUUGGGUUCGAAUUUACUAUUAUAGAGUACUUUUUGAUAGUAAAUUCGAACCCAAGUGAUAUAAUUGCCUGUGACAUGGAUUCUAGAACCAAACAUGAGAUUUCUUCAACAGUUUUACUUUCGCUAUAUAUAAGAAACACAAUUACAUGCUACAAUUGGAUACUCAAAUCUGCUAGAGAGUGUCAGUCAUACCCGUUAUAAACUUCAUUCAUAACUUCAUAUCUUCGUAAAUAUUUCCCUUCCUUAUUUUUGUUCUUCACUUUGUCAUUUAUAUGUCUGUUGUGUAUAUUUCAAUAUAUUAUUCAUUACUAUGCAUUUUAUGUAUAUUUGAAUAUAAUUGCAUAAUACUCACAUGAGGGAAAUAAAGUAUGAAUUAAUAAAUGGCAUACAACACAACAAAAGAAUAAUUACCUUACAUGUAGUUGCGUCUCCUCGAUAGGCCUAUCACUGUCUUUUUUAUUAAGCACUUCGUGGGAAAUAACGUGUAGGAAUUUGUUGAAUACAAGGUGAAGAUAACGAACAGUGAUCAAUCUCAUAACUUUUAUAAGCAAUACAAAAUAGAUAGUUGGGCAAACACGGACCCCUGGAUACACCAGAGGUGGGAUCAGGUGCCUAAGAGGAGUAAAAAUCCCCUGUUGACCGGUCACACCCGCCGUGAGACCUUAUCCGCAGUCAAAAUCAGUGAGCCAAGAACGGCUUAACAAUCGGUAUGAAACACGUCAGACAGCAUUUGACCCAAUGCUAGAUUGUAUUGACGAACUAGAUCGUUAUAACGACCAUAGAAUUUGCGAAAUGUUGACUUCAAUCGAGACUGUUGAAACCCAUGUACCAUCAACUUGUUUGUCAGUAGCUUACUGACUAUACGCAGAACAAGCUCUUGCAUAUCGAAUCAGUUGAGAUAUAUAAACACCAUAUGCAGGUGAUAAUGGAAUAUUGCUACAUAAAUAUGGGAAAUUGACGAUGGAGAAGCUGAAAUCAUCCCGUUUGUCAUACAGCUGAGUUGUCAGUUUGCCGUUAAUGUCUCAUAGUAACGAAAACAUGAAUUUUAAUGGUUAAAAUCUAAUUCAAAUUAAAGUCAAAUAUAUUCAUUCAAAUGUUUUUAUCCUUUGAAAAAUGAUAAUACUUAUAUUUCUAUUAUAUAUGUUCCGAUAUAGAAGCCAGUCAGAUGAAGAGUGUGUAUGUGUAGUAAUGAAAUUCUUCGAUAGGUUUAAGAUUUUGCGGGGAAACUAACGCGUAGAAAUCUGGUGAAAUUGAUUUUCAUUAUAAUGAAAAAAAUUAAAUGUAUGCAAUUUUAUAUAUAUUACACGACCAUUCCUCACGAUAAUUCAAAGACUAGAUUUUUUGACAUCAUAGGCAGAACUUUGAUUCUUCAAUAAAAAAGGAAAAAGAUCAGUCAUUUAAAAAAUGACUUUGUUAAACACCACUCUGAUUCUACGCACACGUACUCUGAAGUUGAUAUUAAUAAGAUGCUGGAGUUCCUCAUUGACAAUAUUUUCCUAGUCUUUAGUGAUUAGGUCUUCUAACAGUCUGAUGGUAUUUGCAUGGGCAUGAAUUGUAUUCCUUUGUUAGUUGACCUGUUUUUAUAUUCUUUUGAGGCAGAAUAUAUUCAAAAGCUUCUUCAUGAGAGGAAAAAAUAUCCUGCUUUGGCCUUCAACUCAACAUUCAGAAUACAUGUCGAUUCGAUAUAUCCCGGUGAACUCGAAAUAAAAGACAUCACAGAGUCUUCCACAUCUGCUUUGUACUUAGAUAUCUUAUUGAAUAAACUAACAACUCGACUUUACGACAAACGGGAUGAGUUCAACUUCUUCAUCGUCAACUUCCCAUAAUUAUAUAGCAAUAUUCCAUUAUCAUCUGCACAUGGUGUUUAUGUCUCUUUACUGAUUCGAUACGUAAGAGCUUGUUCUGCGUAUGAUCAGUUUUUAAAUCGAGACAGGCUACUGACAAACAAGUUGAUGGUACAGGGGUUUCAACAGUCUCGUUUAAAAUCAACAUUUCGCAAAUUCUACGGUCGUUAAAACGAUCUAGUUUGACAAUACAACCUGUCAUUGGGUCAAAUGCUGUCCGAAGUGUUUCAUACAUGUACCAAUUAUUAGGCUACUCUUUAUACAAGGAUCACUCCGUUUUCCUGGUCAAGAUAUAGGGCUCUUGGUGGGCGUGACUGGUCGACAGGGGAUGCUUACUCCUCACCCGAGGUAUAUCCAGUGGUACGUGUUUGCCCAACUCUUAAUUUUGUAUUGCUUAUAGGAGUUACGAGAUUAAUCACUGUUCGUUAUCUUCAACUUUUCAACUUUUCAUUUAGAUUAAAGCCAAAAUUACUCGUUCAAAUGAUUUUAUCAUUUGGUGUGUAGUAUAUAUUUUUUCUUUAUAUAUGCACAUGUAGCAAAAUUAUAUUUCAUUCUGAUCAUUUCGCUUGACCAAUAUCAUUUCAUGCACACACAUGUGGCUUUUAGCUUGACCUACAUACAGAACAAAAAUAGUUAUUCCUUUAUGAUGUCAAUCGUAGAACGACCUAAUGAUAAUAUAUAGACUGAGGAGGCAGCCCUGAGCACGCUAAGGAAUAUAAUUUUUUUUAAAAAUGUUUUUAAGAAAAGGAUAAGUUUUUAAAAAUUCAUUUUACCUUCAAUAUGAUUGCUUUUACACCAUAUAUAUUCAUCGAUAAUCCAGCCAUGUUAUAACACCUGCUUUUUCCAGCAUGUCAUUUCGUGUGACUCGGACCCGAAUCCAUGGAGUAAUAUAUCUUGAACAGAAAGUAAGCAGUAAUGGUAUUGUAGUUUCUCGGGAUUGAUCAAUUAUCAUGUUCGAUGUCCGUAGCAUUGAGUCGGAUCUUCCCAUAUCCUAGUAGAACAGACUCGAAAUUACUCUCAGGAAAAAUGUUUACAGAAUAGGAUUUUCCCAUCAGCUUGGGAGAAAUUUUACUUAGAUUACCUUUCAUUACAUGGAAUUUCUCUCAUAGCUAGUUUUCCCAUUCCUAGAUAUCCCAUCCCGUACCUUCCUUUCAUCUCACAUGAGCUUGAAAGUCAUUUGUUCCGUCGUCUGUCUUUCAGUGUGUUUAUCAUAAUAGAUUCAUAACAAAAUUUAAUGAAUUUUUGUCCCUGAAGUUACAAUUCUGGAACUACUCUGGAUUUUUUAUUUAUUUAUAUUUUUGUUGUUGUUAUUUUUAAUCUUUGCCCAUGAAUCAUAAAAAGUAAUGAUGAUUACGGGAGCUUAUCAUUAUCUAAACAGAUUACGGGGUAAUGUAAUUUUUUUGUUAUCAGCUGUGUAAAACAAUGAGCUGAUUGUAUAAUCAGCAUACUUAUGAAAGACAAAGAUGGUUCUCCUGAAUGACAGGUUUCGGUCUCUUCUAAGCAUCCUUGGAUUUGCUUGUAGUUUUGUCGGAGCUGUCUUACCGUACUGGAGUCACUCCCAGAAGCCGUGUCUGCACAGCACGUGUACAAGUGAAAUAUUAACAUCAUUAUUUUACGUCAAAAAUUGCACGAGCAGCAUGGGAUGCUGGUAUAAAACUUUCUACGACCCGAUUCUACAAGAACAGUAUUUCGGUGAUACGAAAGACAGCCUCAUUCCAAUACUAGCAGUGACACAAGGGAAAUGUAUCACGUCUUUCCUCCUAAGUCUUGGUGCCAUUGUACUGACAGUCAAUGCAGUCUGUAAGCAGGAUGGACGUCGUCUCAUCUGGGUCCUUCUUCUUUUGUCUUUUUCAGGACUGUUGAUGCUGUCCAUUGUGGCAGAUUUCGUCGUGACGUACAUCAUGAACUAUGAUAAAGCAAAUUCCUUGGGGAGUUUUCCUUAUUCUGCAAUUCUAGCUCUCCUCGGCGUUUGUUUAUAUGUCCUUAUUGUCGUUGAUGGCUUCAGUAGGCCCCUUGGAAGUAUCGGAUACCGAAAAAUGUCUGAAGAUAUGGAACUUCCAAAAAUUCAGAACGAUGAAUAGUGACGAGGUUCAACAUUGGCCAAAAAUUCACACAAAUUUCGACCUAUUUUGGCGCUAGUUUCCAAAUUGCCAAAAUGGUAAUCACCAAAUCUAAGCCAUUUUAUAUUCAUAAAUAAAUGUGGAAGAUAAAUGUUUUAUGAGGUACUAAUUUGUUUGGACUGUUAUACAAAUGUAGUAGAUAAAUGUUUUAUGAGG